rnacentral:rRNA from 1 species
GGGAAUUUUUCGCAAUGGGCGCAAGCCUGACGAAGCAACGCCGCGUGGAGGAUGAAGGCCUUCGGGUCGUAAACUCCUGUCGACCGGGACGAAAGCAGUCCGGAUCAAUACCCUGGGCUGUUGACUGUACCGGUGGAGGAAGCCACGGCUAACUCUGUGCCAGCAGCCGCGGUAAUACAGAGGUGGCAAGCGUUGUUCGGAAUUACUGGGCGUAAAGGGCGCGUAGGCGGUUCGAUAAGUCCUGUGUGAAAUCCCUCGGCUCAACUGAGGAACUGCACGGGAGACUGUCGGGCUUGAGUUCGGGAGAGGGAAGCGGAAUUCCGGGUGUAGCGGUGAAAUGCGUAGAUAUCCGGAGGAACACCGGUGGCGAAGGCGGCUUCCUGGACCGACACUGACGCUGAGGCGCGAAAGCUAGGGGAGCAAAC